UACGGGGGGGGCGAGCGUUGUUCGGAAUUACUGGGCGUAAAGGGCGCGUAGGCGGUCUGCUAAGUUGGGUGUGAAAACUCUGGGCUUAACCCAGAGCCUGCAUUCAAAACUGGCAGGCUAGAGUUCUGGAGGGGGAAGCGGAAUUCCUGGUGUAGCGGUGAAAUGCGUAGAUAUCAGGAGGAACACCGGUGGCGAAGGCGGCUUCCUGGACAGAAACUGACGCUGAGGCGCGAAAGCUAGGGGAGCAAACAGG
rnacentral:rRNA from 1 species